rnacentral:rRNA from 1 species
UACGUAGGUGGCAAGCGUUAUCCGGAAUUAUUGGGCGUAAAGCGCGCGCAGGUGGUUCCUUAAGUCUGAUGUGAAAGCCCCCGGCUCAACCGGGGAGGGUCAUUGGAAACUGGGGAACUUGAGUGUAGAAGAGGAAAGUGGAAUUCCACGUGUAGCGGUGAAAUGCGUAGAGAUGUGGAGGAACACCAGUGGCGAAGGCGACUUUCUGGUCUAUAACUGACACUGAGGCGCGAAAGCGUGGGGAGCAGACAGG